rnacentral:rRNA from 1 species
AACGUAGGACACAAGCGUUAUCCGGAGUUACUGGGCGUAAAGGGCGUGCAGGCGGUUGCCUGAGUUAGGCGUGAAAGCCCCUGGCUCAACCGGGGGUAGUCGUCUGAUACUGGGCAACUGGAGGGUGGCAGAGGCGUGUAGAAUUCCGGGUGUAGUGGUGAAAUGCGUAGAGAUCCGGAGGAAUACCAGUGGCGAAGGCGGCACGCUGGGCCAUUACUGACGCUAAGACGCGAAAGCAUGGGUAGCGAACGGG